GAAACUCAACAAACACUGAAGUGUGAUCUGAUCAAAGUCUGUCUUCUGUGGACCUGCUGACAACAACAUGCUGCACUGGUCUGUUGUGUUGCUGCUUUGUGCGCUCACUGCUGUUUCUCUUGCAGCUCCUGUCAACAAGGAAUCGACGGAUGACGAGAGAACUGCACAACUGCUGACACACCUGAACGGACAUGGUACAGAUACACCCGUGACAGCACAACCAGAUGCUUCUGACAGCAAAGAACAAACUGAAGCUCCCUCAGAAUCAGAUGAGACCACUGAAUCACCAGCUGACUCAGAUGACAGACAUGACAGUAGUUCUGUGAUGGACAACUCUGAAGAUGACAGCAAAGCUUCCCCUGAGCAGAGCGAAGCAGAAUCAGCAGAGACAACUGAAGCUCAAGGUGACCAGAGUGAGGAGUCUGAGGUGGACGCCUCUGAGGACGAUACUGAGGAUGCUACAAACACGAAGAAAGAUGACGACACUGAUGAAGACUCUGACUCUGACUCUGACUCUGAUGCUGAGAGAACUCCAGGAGACCAGGACAGCAACGACAAGACCGAUGAUGACAGUGUGGAGGAGGGAGACGCAGCGAGCGAGGAAGCAGCAGAAGAGGAGGAGCUUCAGAAGGAGGAGAUGGAUGAGAUGAGUGAAACAGAUAUGUCAGAGGAGCUCAUGGAGGAGAAUGAUGACAGUAUGAGUGAGAUGAAAGAGGAUGGUGAUACAACAAGUGAUGGAGCGAAUGAGAUGAGCCAGUCCGACAGUGACACCUCUGACGAUGAAGCUGAGCCUGAUGGCAUGCCUGCCUCUGACGGCAAGGAGGAAGAGGAUGUGAUCCAAGACGACUCCGUAAUACCUGACACCGAAGGAGCUGAAGAGCAGAGUCCAGACGCCCAUGACUCCACUGAAGUUCCUGCUGCAGCAACGCCUGCUGACCAAUCAGAUGAUGCCGUCCCAGCCACCACAGCGGCCACAAAUUAGAAGCUAAGCCCGUGAUCUGUGGAAGCGAACUGACUCCAGAGCCACGCCCACGGCCUCCACAGAGGAAUACUGUUGCCAUGACAACAACAAGCUAAAUUGCAACUAAACCUCAUCCUCUGGCUUUCUGUUUGUUUCUCUCCUUUGCCUGGUUCUGAUUGGUUGUUUCUUUUUUUUUUUUUCAAACAUUUCCCUCCCUUCCACCAAGCGACCCUCUCUGUGAUGUGUUCACUGCACAAACAUUAAACCAGCUGCUGAUCGUAGUUUCGCUUUGUGUGUCUGAUUUAACGUGUACAUACAGUCCAUCGUUUACUUCACAAACGUUACCACUGCUCUUCCAGCAGGUGAGCACAGAAUGAUUGUACACAGAGGAACUGCUAAUAA
rnacentral:lncRNA from 1 species